AUUUCGAACCGCAUGGUUCGAUAGUGAAAGAUGGUUUUGCUAUCACUUAUAGAUGGACCCGCGCCGUAUUAGCUAGUUGGUAAGGUAACGGCUUACCAAGGCGACGAUACGUAGCCGACCUGAGAGGGUGAUCGGCCACACUGGAACUGAGACACGGUCCAGACUCCUACGGGAGGCAGCAGUAGGGAAUCUUCCGCAAUGGGCGAAAGCCUGACGGAGCAACGCCGCGUGAGUGAUGAAGGUCUUCGGAUCGUAAAACUCUGUUAUUAGGGAAGAACAUACGUGUAAGUAACUAUGCACGUCUUGACGGUACCUAAUCAGAAAGCCACGGCUAACUACGUGCCAGCAGCCGCGGUAAUACGUAGGUGGCAAGCGUUAUCCGGAAUUAUUGGGCGUAAAGCGCGCGUAGGCGGUUUUUUAAGUCUGAUGUGAAAGCCCACGGCUCAACCGUGGAGGGUCAUUGGAAACUGGAAAACUUGAGUGCAGAAGAGGAAAGUGGAAUUCCAUGUGUAGCGGUGAAAUGCGCAGAGAUAUGGAGGAACACCAGUGGCGAAGGCGACUUUCUGGUCUGUAACUGACGCUUAUGUGCGAAAGCGUGGGGAUCAAACAGGAUUAGAUACCCUGGUAGUCCACGCCCUAAACCAUGAGUGCUAAAUGUUAAGGGGUUUCCGCCCCUUAAUGCUGCAGCUAACGCAUUAAACACUCCCCCUGGGGAGUACAACCGCAAGGUUGAAACUCACAGGAAUUGACGGGGGACCCGCCCAACCCGUGGAACAUGUGGGUUUAUUUCCAAACAACGCGCAGAAACCUUACCAAAUCUUGACAUCCUUUUGACAACUCUACAAAAAAGAACCCUUCCCCUUCCUGGGGACGAAAUAAAAAGGUGGGUGGCAGGGGUGUUCGUCCCCCCCCUGUCCCCGGAAAUUUUGAGUUUAUGUCCUUCCUCCCAA
rnacentral:rRNA from 1 species